UUUCAAAAAACCACUUCAGAAGAGGGAAUACAGACCUUUUAAAGAAAAGGAUUGCCCUAAAUUGCCCUGGCCAGCUUCGAACUUGCCAUCCUCAUGCUUUAGCCUCCGGAGAAGCUGGAAUUACAGGAGAAUUUUAUCAUCUAGCCAGUCCGCAAGGCAUUCGGCAAACGCGGACUGGAUCUCCGGCCGCGCGGAUCAGGUGGAGUUUCGGGGCCCAGGAACUCCAGUGGCUGCGGCCGCCAAGGAA
rnacentral:lncRNA from 1 species